rnacentral:rRNA from 1 species
CUACGUGCCAGCAGCCGCGGUAAUACGGAGGGUGCGAGCGUUAAUCGGAAUAACUGGGCGUAAAGGGCACGCAGGCGGUUAUUUAAGUGAGGUGUGAAAGCCCCGGGCUUAACCUGGGAAUUGCAUUUCAGACUGGGUAACUAGAGUACUUUAGGGAGGGGUAGAAUUCCACGUGUAGCGGUGAAAUGCGUAGAGAUGUGGAGGAAUACCGAAGGCGAAGGCAGCCCCUUGGGAAUGUACUGACGCUCAUGUGCGAAAGCGUGGGGAGCAAACAGGAUUAGAUACCCUGGUAGUCCACGCUGUAAACGCUGUCGAUUUGGGGAUUGGGCUUAAAGCUUGGUGCCCGUAGCUAACGUGAUAAAUCGACCGCCUGGGGAGUACGGCCGCAAGGUUAAAACUCAAAUGAAUUGACGGGGGCCCGCACAAGCGGUGGAGCAUGUGGUUUAAUUCGAUGCAACGCGAAGAACCUUACCUACUCUUGACAUCCAUGGAAUCCUGUAGAGAUACGGGAGUGCUUCGGGA